ACUUUAAAAAUAGAUCGCCCUCGACGAACGCACUCAGUAUCAGUUGAGAAGCCAAAGAGCUCGUACUAGUUGUUUUACUGAACAUAUGUGGUAUUUAUUCCCUGGAUUACGUGUCUUACUAGAACGAACAAUCACCGUCGACGAACGUACUCAGUAUCAGUUGAGGAGUCAAAGCACUCGUACUCAUUACUUUACUGAACAUUUGUGGUCUUCAUUAUUUUUAAAUCGACUGAAUAUGACGAGCAAACCUGUCUUUGGAUUCUACGGUGGAUGGGCCACCUAUCGCAGCGGAAAGGGAAGAUGCACCGUGGAAGACCUAAACCCGGACCUGUGCACCCAUCUUAUCUACGCGUUUGUGGAGCCUAAAGACGAUGGAACGCUCAUCCGAAAGGAUGACAACGAGAAGAAUGUUAUGGACAGCUUUAACGACUUGCGUAAGAGAAAUCCUAGGCUGAAGACUCUUGUGUCGUUUGGUGGUGCCAAUUGUGAUAAAUCUGCGUACGCAAAAGUGGCAGCCGACUCGAUCCUUCGAAACAGCUUUGCAGUAAAUGUGCGUGGCUUCUGUAUACGGUAUGGUUUCAAUGGAGCGGAUAUUGAUUGGGAAUUUCCCGAAAGCAGCUCCGAUCAUAGCAACUUCGUACUGCUGCUGUCGGCAUUGGCAUCUGAGCUACACCCCAACCAUCACGACCUGAUCUUAACCACAUCGGUGGGUGUUAACAGAGAAUACGAUGUAUCCGGAAUUGCCCGACAUGUUGACUAUAUCCUCCUGAUGAGCUACGAUUACAACGGCACGUGGGACCACUACACUGGCCAUAAUGCCCCGCUUUGCUGGGGUACGGUAGAAACCGACUAUCAGAGAAGACUGAAUGUUAAGGCUAGUGUCAGCGAUUGGAUAGGUGGAGGUGCCCCAAAGUCGAAACUGAUCGUCGGCUUAGCCGCUUACGCGUACGUUCACACUGACCUCCACCAGUACUGAGGGAACAAGGCGACCCACCAGCGGUCCAGGUCGCAAGGGACCAUAUACUGAUGAAGCAGGCAUUCUAGCCUACUAUGAGGUAAAGGACAUGUUUGAACAACGUAUGUGGGAUAGCGAGCAGCACGUUCCUUAUGCGGUUAGCGGCGAUCAGUGGGUUAGCUACGAUGAUCCACAAAGUAUUCAAAAGAAAUGUGAAUUCAUCAACAGCGAAGAUCUUGGUGGAGCAAUGAUCUGGUCGAUCGACCAGGAUGAGUUCCAGGAUGGCAAAUUCACGCUGCUGCGUACUGUUGUUGAAUGUUUGAAACCAACAGAACCAGCAUGUUCAAUGAAAUGUGUUGUAUUGUGAGUAGUAUGGGAGAUGCAGACAUAGGUACGAACAUAUGAAGUACUUUGACGUCGUCCGCAAAGUACUCCCAUGAAAUGUGACUUUAUCAAAAAGAAAAAUAAUCGGAGAAGCUGGAUGAGUUCAGGGAGUAUGCAAUGUAUGCAGAAUGAUUGAAUUAGAAAAAUUCUAGCACAGCUCAAACUAAAGCGUUAUUUGAAGCCUCUCUAAUAAUAUAUUAAUUAGAGGAAGGAUUAUGAUUAAAUUUUGAAUUUUGUAGAAGAAACCACUAUACCCUAAAUUCAAUUCUGGAAAUUCUACUUCAACUAGACGUUCAAAUAAGAAGUAUAGCUCCGUCAGGUAAAACUUGUAUGUCACCGUGUCAGAAAGAUAUUUCGUGUAAUCAAAUAAAUGCAAACUUGUAGUAUUACAACUGUUACCAAA